UACGUAGGUGGCAAGCGUUAUCCGGAAUUAUUGGGCGUAAAGCGCUCGCAGGCGGUUUCUUAAGUCUGAUGUGAAAGCCCACGGCUCAACCGUGGAGGGUCAUUGGAAACUGGGAGACUUGAGUGCAGAAGAAGGAGAGUGGAAUUCCACGUGUAGCGGUGAAAUGCGUAGAGAUGUGGAGGAACACCAGUGGCGAAGGCGACUCUCUGGUCUGUAACUGACGCUGAGGAGCGAAAGCGUGGGGAGCAACAGGGA
rnacentral:rRNA from 1 species